GACGAACCGUGCGAACGUUAUUCGGAAUCACUGGGCUUAAAGCGCGUGUAGGCGGGCCGGCACGUCGGUCGCUGAAAGCCCCCGGCUCAACCGGGGAAGUGGCGCCGAUACGACCGACCUGGAGGGACGUAGGGGGACCUGGAACUUCCGGUGGAGCGGUGAAAUGCGUUGAGAUCGGAAGGAACGCCCGUGGCGAAAGCGAGGUCCUGGACGUUUACUGACGCUGAGACGCGAAAGCCAGGGGAGCGAACGGG
rnacentral:rRNA from 1 species